rnacentral:rRNA from 1 species
AGACAAGUGAACCCGCUGACUUAAGCAUA